CCGAGUUGAUCUGAUCGGCAGUGUAAACCUAGCUUGAUUACCGAGUUGAUUUGAUCGGUAGUGUUAACCUAGCUUGCUUAAAGCUAGGUUCACACUGCCGAUCAGAUCAACUCAAU
rnacentral:sRNA from 1 species